rnacentral:rRNA from 1 species
UACAGAGGUCCCAAGCGUUGUUCGGAUUUAUUGGGCGUAAAGGGUGCGUAGGCGGCGGAGUAAGUUGGGUGUGAAAUCCCGGGGCUUAACCUCGGAAUUGCAUUCAAUACUGCUUCGCUUGAGUACUGGAGAGGAGGCUGGAAUUUACGGUGUAGCAGUGAAAUGCGUAGAUAUCGUAAGGAAGGCCGGUGGCGAAAGCGAGCCUCUGGACAGUUACUGACGCUGAUGCACGAAGGCCAGGGGAGCAAACGGG